ACUUCUCAUUCUGGACGCAGCGGAGCUUCAGGCAAACGGGUUUAUUCUUCCGUUUUCAGAAGAAUAAUGUUUAUCUUUUUUUGGAAUACUUGUCGAAGUUAACGUCGAUUUUCAUUUGGAUUUUUAAAGUUUGACAUGCCUCUAAUUCUUGGAGCGUGAAUGAUCAUGGGCAGUUAAACGCAGUGAUGUUGUUGUCCUACAAAGCUCAAUUGUAAACACUGACGUGCUUUUAAGGAUCGUAUAAUCUGUGUAGUUAAACGUGAAAUAUAGGAUUUGACUUGACUGAUUGAUAUAAAACGAUGUUGGUUCAUGUGAAGGGACGGACGGAUUAAACCAUCAUGGGACUAUUCAUGGUCACAUUAACGGGACUAUUGGUUCUCUAUUGAAAGGAAUGUAUGGAGAUAAUCGCUGCGUUAUUAAGAUGCGGUAAUGCCGUCUUUCAUCUCUGUGGUUGCUGCCAUCACACUGGUUAUGGUCGCAUCGCCAUGGCAAUGUACAGAAAACAAAUGGGUAGCUGUGAUGUCAUAGUUGGACAGCUUUAUUUGCACCCAGAGAGAGAAAGAGAGAGAGAGAGAGAGAAGCUGAGUGGAAGAUGAGGACUGUGGGAGUGGAGCAUUCUGGCAGGUAGUGAAAUGGAAUGCAGAUUUCGUCUGUCACAUGGGAGAAGAAACUGGAGGACAUAGCUCAGUGUAUCAAAUGCAUAAUGUGACCUUGUCUAUGUCACCAGAAUUUUUUGGGCCAGUCAGCUGGAAUAAACGCAUAUGACUACCACGCCAAGUACUCUGGUGUUUGUUACCCCAGGGAGAUCUUAUUUUGUCCAUUGUGAGACUGUCAAAAUGCUCCACUUUUUUUUUAAUUGUCUGGAGAGUGUAUGGCUGUCCUCAGCCUCUCAGCUAUUGUCAGCUUCAUGUGGAGACAAGCAGUGGUUUGGAACCUAUUGCACAUCUGCAUGUGCCUUUAGUUGUUUGCAAUAGUGUUGGUGUAAGGAUAGACACCCUUUCACUUUUUGACCCCCCUUUUUUCAAAUCCCACACCAGUCCAUCUGUUUUAUGUUUGUUUGCCUAUGUCUGGGCUAUAGCCACUUUUCAAACUCUUGCUUCUGGCUGCAUUGGGGUCCAGAUGGCUGCACACACACUCAUAGAUUCACACACACUUUUGGUAGUCUCCAUGGGUCAUCUGUGAUGAGGAAGCCCUACCCUAGACAAUGAUCCUUGGAGAUUAGUGUCUAGCGGUGAAGCAUUGGACAAGUAUGCUCCACUACCGUCCCAAAGAGAGAUACAAAGACAGCAGCCCAAAUUCAUCCAUGGAUGGCCAGCGAGGACUUAUUUGAAGACCAAAUAUAUGUUCUCAAGUUGCCGGGUUUAGGGACAGUACAUCAAAAAUGAAAAUUCUUUCAUCAUUUACUCAUUCUGUUAACAAAUUCAGACAUAUAUAACUUAAAUUUUUGUGUGAACAAUCCCUUUUUGUAGAACAAUCUGCUUCUACAGUGAAUAAUAAGAAUUUUGUAAUUUAACGAGUCAAAUGUUUGCAAGGACACUUCAACUACAUCCUGCAUCAGACAAUGAAUAGCAGUAAAAGAAAUUGACUUCAGUUGGAUAUUUGCACGUGACCUUGUGUACUGCAGACAAAACAGUGGUGGCUACACACAAUGAGCAUGCAAAAGCAUAUGUAAAGAAUACAAAAUCUAUAGUUGUUCUACUGCAUGAUGUUACAGUAAGAGUAUGGAACGGAUUCACACAAUGGGCAAGGAGGAAACUGGGAUGGGCUUGACAAACAUGUAGCGUUGUCAAGCAGGUAUAAGAAAUGCAUUAUACCUCAAUGUUUGUGAUCAGGAGGUGUGAAUUAAAUGUCAUCACAAGCGGUUCACUUCCACGGUUUGGUACGAUUGCAUUCUUAUCAGCAGCGAAUCCUAUUGGAGUUCACAUAAACUGUACCCCAGACCACCUUUUCAAGCUAGCACUGGUAUGUUUCGCAGGUACGCACCCAAGUUUGGAAACAGCGCUCACUUUAUCCAAAUAAACCGAACUUGAUGUCAGUCAAACCUGGGUGUGCACCAAAAGUGCUAGUGAGAAAGCACCAUUAUGUACUCCAGAAGUGUUUCUUGCUGCAUUUUUUUUGGCCAAAAAUGCUGCACCACUACUGAAUGUACAGAAUGUAACACACAGCACAUCCAGUGUAGUGCAAUUCAAGACAGAAUAACUCUUAUAAGCCAUUUCUUUUGAAUCUACACCCUGUCCAGUGUACUUCAAUCAGAUACUAUUUGGUUGUUCAAACGUGUAGUGUGGCAGUGUGAGCAAGAAACAGACACUGGGUGUGGUGUCAGGCCUUGGAGAG